UGAACUGAAGGACAAGAAUAAUUGUUAAUGGCAGCCUCUUUAGACAUAUUUUACAAUCUCAAAUGAUGGUUUACUUGUCUUUUCAUUGAAAAAUCUUUAUGAAGGUGAGGGAGAACUUAAUCACACAUUGUGAAGAUCAAAUACUAGAGAGUAAAAAUUACCAAUUUGUGGAGAUGAUGGGGAGUCUAUUUGCUAUUGUAAUAUAUCAAAUCUCUUUUAUUUAUGAUUAGAUAUUGUUAUGACUUAAACUUUUAUUAUGUGAUUUUAAAGUAUCUUAAUUUAUUUGACUUCUAAAAUCUUUGUUUUUAUAGGUCACAAACA